GCUGGUCAGUGAUGAGUACUGGAGUAUUGCAAGGACUGUUGGAUGAUGUUUGCGGAUAUGGGACUGAGAUCAGCC